GUGUGUAUGUCUGUCAGUGUGUGUGUAUCUAUCUCUGUCAGUGUGUGUGUGUGUAUGUCUGUCAGUGUGUGUGUAUCUAUGUCUGUCAGUGUGUGUGUGUGUAUCCAUGUCUGUCAGUGUGUGUGUGUAUGUAUAUGUCUCUGUCCAUGUGUCUGUGUGUAUCUAAAUGUCUGUGUGUGUGUGUCUGUCUGUUAGUGUGUCUUUGUGUGUCUUCUUCCCUAUCAUUGUGUAUGUGUGUCUGUAUGUCACUGUGUGUUUAUCUGUAUGUCUGUCAGUGUUUGUGUGUA